rnacentral:rRNA from 1 species
UACGGGGGGGGCAAGCGUUGUUCGGAAUUACUGGGCGUAAAGGGCUCGUAGGUGGCCAACUAAGUCAGACGUGAAAUCCCUCGGCUUAACCGGGGAACUGCGUCUGAUACUGGAUGGCUUGAGUUUGGGAGAGGGACGCGGAAUCCCAGGUGUAGCGGUGAAAUGCGUAGAUAUCUGGAGGAACACCGGUGGCGAAGGCGGCGUCCUGGACCAAUACUGACACUGAGGAGCGAAAGCCAGGGGAGCAAACGGG